AUUGAACGCUGCGGCAUGCCUUACACAUGCAAGUCGAACGGCAGCACGGGAGCAAUCCUGGUGGCGAGUGGCGAACGGGUGAGUAAUAUAUCGGAACGUGCCCAGUCGUGGGGGAUAACGUAGCGAAAGCUACGCUAAUACCGCAUACGAUCUAUGGAUGAAAGCGGGGGAUCGCAAGACCUCGCGCGAUUGGAGCGGCCGAUAUCAGAUUAGGUAGUUGGUGAGGUAAAGGCUCACCAAGCCGACGAUCUGUAGCUGGUCUGAGAGGACGACCAGCCACACUGGGACUGAGACACGGCCCAGACUCCUACGGGAGGCAGCAGUGGGGAAUUUUGGACAAUGGGCGCAAGCCUGAUCCAGCAAUGCCGCGUGCAGGAUGAAGGCCUUCGGGUUGUAAACUGCUUUUGUACGGAACGAAACGGUGAGCUCUAAUACAGUUUGCUAAUGACGGUACCGUAAGAAUAAGCACCGGCUAACUACGUG
rnacentral:rRNA from 1 species